UACGUAGGGCGCAAGCGUUUGUCCGGAAUUAUUGGGCGUAAAGAGCUCGUAGGCGGCCUGUUGCGUCCGCUGUGAAAUCCCGGGGCUCAACCCCGGGCCUGCAGUGGAUACGGGCUGGCUGGAGGCAGGCAGGGGAGAACGGAAUUCCUGGUGUAGCGGUGAAAUGCGCAGAUAUCAGGAGGAACACCGGUGGCGAAGGCGGGUCUCCGGGCCGAUACUGACGCUGAGGAGCGAAAGCGUGGGGAGCGAACAGG
rnacentral:rRNA from 1 species